UAUGGCGGAAACGUUUUGACGAAGCUCAAUAGUAUUAUUUUGCGUGCGUGGAAUAUAUAUUGAUUAACAAAUUCGGAGUUAAAAAAUAAGAAUAUAAACAGUUAAAGUGAUAUAAUCAUAUAAUAAUAAACGAUAAAUUCCACAGCGGCUAGUUAAAAAAUCGUUAAUAUGGGCUCGAAUAAACGUCAUAAAACCGAGAAAUCACGCGACGCCAAGAAGAAGCGUCAUCGCAGUCGUUCUAGGAGCUAUACACCCGAUCGUGACAAAUCAGAAAAGCACAGGCAUCACAAAAAACACAGGAGGAAAGAGCGCAAGGAUUACGACAGCGAUGUUGAGAUUGUUAAUGCUCCACCACCGCCAAAAAUAUCGAAAUUAUCGCAUCCAUCAACGCCUCCACCACCAGAAAUUUCUAAACAGCGCAGUCCAUCUCCGGCUAAAGGUGGAGCAUCACAAGCUUCAUUAUCUAUUGAGGAAACUAAUAAACUUCGUGCGAAGUUAGGAUUGAAACCAUUAGAGAUUGAUAAUGCACCGAAAGAUGAUCCUGAUAAAAUCAAGGAUGAUUUGGGAGAGUUUUAUCAUAAACCUGCACCAAAUAAUAAUGAGAAAAUAAGAGCACAGAAAUUAAGGGACAAGAUAGGUACUCAAAAAGAGAAGAGACAGAUUGAAGCAAAUUUGUCAAAAGUGAAAAAUUUGGGUGAAUGCGACUCUGAUGACGAUACUCAAGCAUGGAUCAACAAAUCUAGACACUUGGAAGAAGAGAAAAAGAAAGCGGAACAAAGGGCAAAGAUGUUAGAUCAAUUGGAUGAAGAAUUUGGAAUUGGUAAUUUGGUUAAAGAGGAAAUACAUACUGCGCGUAAUACAGCAUAUACAGAAAAGGAUUUGAAAGGCCUUAAAGUUGAACAUAAUAUUGAAACAUUUGAAGAAGGGAAAACCUUAAUUUUGACAUUAAAAGAUCAAGAGGUAUUAGAGGAAAAUGCUGAUUCACUUGUGAAUGUUAAUAUGGUUGAUAAUGAACGCUACAAGCGUAGUGUUUUAAAUAAAAUUAGAAAACCUACAUAUGAUCCAUAUGCUGAUGAAAAUUUUGAUGAACAUGGAUUUCCAAAAAAUAAGAUCUUGGAAAAGUAUGAUGAGGAAAUCGAUGGAGAGAAGAAAGACAAUUUUGUAUUAGGUACUAAUAAUGCAAUAGAAUUGAAACGACGUCAAAUAGAGACAGUCAAGCAACGCUUAGCAAAUAAAAGACUAGAAACGCUACAGAUGGCAGAACCGAAAUUAGCAAGUGAAUAUUAUAAUGAAGAAGAACUUGCAAAGUUCAAGAAGCCAAAGAAAAAGAUCCGAAAAAUUAGAACAAAAAAGAAAUUUAAGGUUGAUGAUUUGGUACCUGUUGACAAUGACUAUCUUAGAGAUCUUGGAAGUAGGAGAAGGAAGAAACCAGAAGACUUGAAAGAUAAUGAUGCUUUAGAUGUUGAUGAUUUAGAAGCCCCUGCAGAAGAUCUUACUGGAAUAAAACUGGAAGAAGAUGAAAAAGAAUUGGAGUUACAAUUAGCUUUAAAGAAAGCACAACGUUUAAAAGAAGGACAUAUAGCUGGUAUUCAGAAAACUGUUGAAACAAUAAGACAAGAAAUUCUUAACUCAGAGGAAAAUCAGGUUGGAAAUAUUGUUCUUAAUUCUACUGCAGAAUUCUGUAGAACAUUGGGUGAUAUACCUACAUAUGGACUUGCUGGAAAUAGAGAAGAAAAUGGACAAGAACUCAUGGAUUUUGAAAUGGAUGGAAUUAAAGAUGAGCCACCUAUGAAUGAAGAUGAAGAUGAUGGUCGUGGCGCUUGGAAUACAGUACAUUUAGAUGAAAACACCUCGGAACCAGUUGUAAUGGAAGCAGCAAUUUUAGACGCUGAACCGUCACUCGGACACGGAGUAGGUGGAGCUUUAAAGUUAGCUAUGAGUAAAGGUUAUUUGCAAAAAGAAGAUAGCAAUCGACCUUCCGCGUCACGAUUUGCACAUUUGCAAGCUCAGAAUUAUUCAAUAGAGGAUAAAACAUAUGGUUAACAGUUUUAAAUAGAGCCCGGAAAUCGGUGCUCGGAACGGGUGAUCCGCUACCACUACAAGAGUUUACCGCUUAAUCGGAGGCGAUAACAGAUGACCUGAGAAGAGAGUAGGAUUUGUUAAGGGAUGACGAUAAAUUCGGCAGAAGAGAUCGUUUUAAUGGACCGACGUCUGAUUUUAAGGAGAAGGAAAGUUUCAAGCCAAAUGUAAAGCUUGAAUAUAUUGAUGAUGAUGGUCAUGUUUUGAGCGCCAAAGAAGCUUUUAGAUAUCUAUCGCAUAAGUUUCAUGGAAAAGGCCCAGGA
rnacentral:misc_RNA from 1 species